rnacentral:tRNA from 1 species
CGGGACGUAGCUCAGCUUGGCUAGAGCGCUUGCCUUGGAAGAUCAGAUCAGCAUGAGAUUUCGAUCAUCUCCCGCUUAUCUGAUCCCUACGCAAAGCUGCUUCGGCGUUCGGAGAACGCCAAAGACGUUUUUGCUCGGAAGCAAGAGGCCGAAGGUUCGAAUCCUUCCGUUCCGACCA